rnacentral:rRNA from 2 species
UUAAGCGACUAAGCGUACACGGUGGAUGCCCUGGCAGUCAGAGGCGAUGAAGGACGUGCUAAUCUGCGAUAAGCGUCGGUGAGGUGAUAUGAACCGUUAUAACCGGCGAUUUCCGAAUGGGGAAACCCAGUGUGUUUCGACACACUAUCAUUAACUGAAUCCAUAGGUUAAUGAGGCGAACCGGGGGAACUGAAACAUCUAAGUACCCCGAGGAAAAGAAAUCAACCGAGAUUCCCCCAGUAGCGGCGAGCGAACGGGGAGGAGCCCAGAGCCUGAAUCAGUGUGUGUGUUAGUGGAAGCGUCUGGAAAGGCGUGCGAUACAGGGUGACAGCCCCGUACACAAAAAUGCACAUAUUGUGAGCUCGAUGAGUAGGGCGGGACACGUGGUAUCCUGUCUGAAUAUGGGGGGACCAUCCUCCAAGGCUAAAUACUCCUGACUGACCGAUAGUGAACCAGUACCGUGAGGGAAAGGCGAAAAGAACCCCGGCGAGGGGAGUGAAAAAGAACCUGAAACCGUGUACGUACAAGCAGUGGGAGCCUCUUAAUGGGGUGACUGCGUACCUUUUGUAUAAUGGGUCAGCGACUUAUAUUCUGUAGCAAGGUUAACCGAAUAGGGGAGCCGAAGGGAAACCGAGUCUUAACUGGGCGUUAAGUUGCAGGGUAUAGACCCGAAACCCGGUGAUCUAGCCAUGGGCAGGUUGAAGGUUGGGUAACACUAACUGGAGGACCGAACCGACUAAUGUUGAAAAAUUAGCGGAUGACUUGUGGCUGGGGGGGAAAGGCCAAUCAAACCGGGAGAUAGCUGGUUCUCCCCGAAAGCUAUUUAGGUAGCGCCUCGUGAAUUCAUCUCCGGGGGUAGAGCACUGUUUCGGCAAGGGGGUCAUCCCGACUUACCAACCCGAUGCAAACUGCGAAUACCGGAGAAUGUUAUCACGGGAGACACACGGCGGGUGCUAACGUCCGUCGUGAAGAGGGAAACAACCCAGACCGCCAGCUAAGGUCCCAAAGUCAUGGUUAAGUGGGAAACGAUGUGGGAAGGCCCAGACAGCCAGGAUGUUGGCUUAGAAGCAGCCAUCAUUUAAAGAAAGCGUAAUAGCUCACUGGUCGAGUCGGCCUGCGCGGAAGAUGUAACGGGGCUAAACCAUGCACCGAAGCUGCGGCAGCGACACUAUGUGUUGUUGGGUAGGGGAGCGUUCUGUAAGCCUGUGAAGGUGGCCUGUGAGGGUUGCUGGAGGUAUCAGAAGUGCGAAUGCUGACAUAAGUAACGAUAAAGCGGGUGAAAAGCCCGCUCGCCGGAAGACCAAGGGUUCCUGUCCAACGUUAAUCGGGGCAGGGUGAGUCGACCCCUAAGGCGAGGCCGAAAGGCGUAGUCGAUGGGAAACAGGUUAAUAUUCCUGUACUUGGUGUUACUGCGAAGGGGGGACGGAGAAGGCUAUGUUGGCCGGGCGACGGUUGUCCCGGUUUAAGCGUGUAGGCUGGUUUUCCAGGCAAAUCCGGAAAACCAAGGCUGAGGCGUGAUGACGAGGCACUACGGUGCUGAAGCGACAAAUGCCCUGCUUCCAGGAAAAGCCUCUAAGCAUCAGGUAACAUCAAAUCGUACCCAAAACCGACACAGGUGGUCAGGUAGAGAAUACCAAGGCGCUUGAGAGAACUCGGGUGAAGGAACUAGGCAAAAUGGUGCCGUAACUUCGGGAGAAGGCACGCUGAUAUGUAGGUGAAGCGACUCGCUCGUGGAGCUGAAAUCAGUCGAAGAUACCAGCUGGCUGCAACUGUUUAUUAAAAACACAGCACUGUGCAAACACGAAAGUGGACGUAUACGGUGUGACGCCUGCCCGGUGCCGGAAGGUUAAUUGAUGGGGUUAGCGGUAACGCGAAGCUCUUGAUCGAAGCCCCGGUAAACGGCGGCCGUAACUAUAACGGUCCUAAGGUAGCGAAAUUCCUUGUCGGGUAAGUUCCGACCUGCACGAAUGGCGUAAUGAUGGCCAGGCUGUCUCCACCCGAGACUCAGUGAAAUUGAACUCGCUGUGAAGAUGCAGUGUACCCGCGGCAAGACGGAAAGACCCCGUGAACCUUUACUAUAGCUUGACACUGAACAUUGAGCCUUGAUGUGUAGGAUAGGUGGGAGGCUUUGAAGUGUGGACGCCAGUCUGCAUGGAGCCGACCUUGAAAUACCACCCUUUAAUGUUUGAUGUUCUAACGUUGGCCCGUAAUCCGGGUUGCGGACAGUGUCUGGUGGGUAGUUUGACUGGGGCGGUCUCCUCCUAAAGAGUAACGGAGGAGCACGAAGGUUGGCUAAUCCUGGUCGGACAUCAGGAGGUUAGUGCAAUGGCAUAAGCCAGCUUGACUGCGAGCGUGACGGCGCGAGCAGGUGCGAAAGCAGGUCAUAGUGAUCCGGUGGUUCUGAAUGGAAGGGCCAUCGCUCAACGGAUAAAAGGUACUCCGGGGAUAACAGGCUGAUACCGCCCAAGAGUUCAUAUCGACGGCGGUGUUUGGCACCUCGAUGUCGGCUCAUCACAUCCUGGGGCUGAAGUAGGUCCCAAGGGUAUGGCUGUUCGCCAUUUAAAGUGGUACGCGAGCUGGGUUUAGAACGUCGUGAGACAGUUCGGUCCCUAUCUGCCGUGGGCGCUGGAGAACUGAGGGGGGCUGCUCCUAGUACGAGAGGACCGGAGUGGACGCAUCACUGGUGUUCGGGUUGUCAUGCCAAUGGCACUGCCCGGUAGCUAAAUGCGGAAGAGAUAAGUGCUGAAAGCAUCUAAGCACGAAACUUGCCCCGAGAUGAGUUCUCCCUGACUCCUUGAGGGUCCUGAAGGAACGUUGAAGACGACGACGUUGAUAGGCCGGGUGUGUAAGCGCAGCGAUGCGUUGAGCUAACCGGUACUAAUGAACCGUGAGGCUUAACCUU